CCGGGACCCCUAACCCCAUCCUCGUCUCGCCCCGGAGCGGGUUCGCCCUCCUCUAGGUCGGCUCGGCCUCAAAUGAGUACCCGGCGUAGCCGCGCGUGCGUGUGGUGUGGGGUGUUAACCGUCGGCGCUGGCCACCCACCCCCUCUGUGAGGUCGCUUCGAAGGCUCCGAGGGAGGCGCCAGGAGGAGAUCCUCCCGGCCGUGAGAUGUCGCUGGGAGACCCUGGCGGAGACGUGGAGGAGGUGGAGGAGGUGGAGGAGGUGAAGGAG